GCGGCCACUCAGGACCGGGGCCUGGAGCUGGUUUUGCCAGGCUGGCCGCCGGGCUGCUGCUUCCCCGUGGCUUCCCGAGCCAGGUCACAGGUGAUCGCGCCAGUGGAGGUCUGGGGCGAUUCCGAGUGCUCUGGGGACUCCAACACUGUGGCCAUGAAUGGGAGAGUGGACUUUCCGAGAAAGAAGCUAGCCCAGCAGUGUGCCGGGCGGCUUUGGGGAGACCGGGAGAGCACACUUCUGAA